rnacentral:rRNA from 1 species
UACGUAGGGGGCAAGCGUUGUUCGGAAUUACUGGGCGUAAAGCGCACGCAGGCGGACUACUAAGUCAGGGGUGAAAUCCCGGGGCUCAACCCCGGAACUGCCUUUGAUACUGGUAGUCUCGAGUCCGGAAGAGGUGAGUGGAAUUCCGAGUGUAGAGGUGAAAUUCGUAGAUAUCGGGAGGAACAUCAGUGGCGAAGGCGGCUGCCUGGCCCAAUACUGACACUCAGGUGCGACAGCGUGGGGAGCAAACAGG